rnacentral:rRNA from 1 species
AUAGUGGGGGACAACGUGUGAACGCACGCUAAUACCGCAUACGUCGUACGGGAGAAAGGGGGCAUUUAUGCUCUCGCUCAGAUGAGCCUAGGUCAGAUUAGCUAGUUGGUGAGGUAAAGGCUCACCAAGGCGACGAUGUAGCGGGUCUGAGAGGAUGAUCCGCCACACUGGAACUGAGACACGGUCCAGACUCCCGGGAGGCAGCAGUGGGGAAUAUUGGACAAUGGGCGAAAGCCUGAUCCAGCCAUGCCGUGUGUGAAGAAGGCCUUUUGGUUGUAAAGCACUUUAAGCGGGGAGGAGGGCUCUGUGGAAUACCCAUAGAAGUCGGACGUUACCCGCAGAAUAAGCACCGGCUAACUCUGUGCCAGGCCGCGGUAAUACAGAGGGUGCGAGCGUUAAUCGGAAUUACUGGGCGUAAAGCGCGCGGGCGGCUUGUUAAGUCGGAUGUGAAAUCCCUGGGCUCAACCUAGGCAUUGCAUUCGAUUGGCAAGCUAGAGUAUGGGAGAGGAAGGUAGAAUUCCAGGUGUAGCGGUGAAAUGCGUAGAUCUGGAGGAAUACCGAUGGCGAAGGCAGCCUUCUGGCCUAAUACUGACGCUGAGGCGAAAGCAUGGGGAGCAAACAGGAUUAGAUACCCUGGUAGUCCAUGCCGUAAACGAUGAACUAGCCGUUGGGCCCUUUGAGGGCUUAGUGGCGCAGCUAACGCGAUAAGUGACCGC